rnacentral:rRNA from 1 species
UCAAGCUACAAAGGGCGCAUGGUGAAUGCCUUGGCAUCAGGAGCCGAUGAAGGACGUGAUAAGCUGCGAUAAGCUUCGGGUAGGCGCACAUAGCCUGAGAUCCGAAGAUCUCCGAAUGAGGAAACUCACAUGGGAAACCCCAUGUAUCAUUAAGUGAAUACAUAGCUUAAUGAAGGUAACCCAGGGAACUGAAACAUCUAAGUACCUGGAGGAAGAGAAAGAAAAAUCGAUUUUCUUAGUAGCGGCGAGCGAAAGGGAAAGAGCCCAAACCGGAAACUUGUUUCCGGGGUUGAGGACAUAACAUAAAGAGAAGUAAUGGCUAAUUGAAGAGAACUGGAAAGUUCCACCGUAGAAGGUAAUAGUCCUGUAAAUGAAAGCUAGUAUAAUCGAGUUAUGAUCCAGAGUACCACGAGACACGUGAAACCUUGUGGGAAGCUGGGAGGACCACCUCCCAAGGCUAAAUACUACCUGAUGACCGAUAGUGAAGCAGUACCGUGAGGGAAAGGUGAAAAGAACCCCGGGAGGGGAGUGAAAUAGAACCUGAAACCGUGUGCCUACAACCGCUCAGAGCCCCUUAUGAGGGUGAUGAGGUGCUUUUUGUAGAACGAGCCAACGAGUUACGGUAUGUAGCAAGGUUAAGUACUUAAGGUACGGAGCCGAAGGGAAACCGAGUCUGAAUAGGGCGACUAGUUGCAUGCCGUAGACCCGAAACCGGGUGACCUAUCCAUGGCCAGGUUGAAGCGAGGGUAAAACCUCGUGGAGGACCGAACCACGUUGCUGUUGAAAAAGCAUGGGAUGAGCUGUGGAUAGCGGAGAAAUUCCAAUCGAACCCGGAGAUAGCUGGUUCUCUCCGAAAUAGCUUUAGGGCUAGCGUCGAGUAUGAGUAGUGGAGGUAGAGCACUGAAUGGGCUAGGGGGCAUAGCGCUUACCGAACCUUAUCAAACUCCGAAUGCCACAUACUUUGAGCUCGGCAGUCAGACUACGAAUGAUAAGAUCCGUGGUCAAAAGGGAAACAGCCCAGAUCGUCAGCUAAGGUCCCAAAGUGUAAGUUAAGUGGGAAAGGAUGUGAGAUUUCUAAGACAACUAGGAUGUUGGCUUAGAAGCAGCCAUUCAUUAAAAGAGUGCGUAAUAGCUCACUAGUCGAGAGAUCUUGCGCCGAAAAUGUAACGGGGCUAAACUUACCACCGAAGCUACGGGCUUGAACUUAGUUCAAGCGGUAGGAGAGCGUCGUAACCGGGCUGAAGUCGUACCGUAAGGAGCGGUGGACUGGUUACGAGUGAGAAUGUUGGCAUCAGUAGCGAGAUGUGGGUGAGAAUCCCACAGGCCGAAAACCUAAGGUUUCCUCAGGAAGGUUCGUCCGCUGAGGGUUAGUCGGGACCUAAGCCGAGGCCGAAAGGCGUAGGUGAUGGACAACUGGUUGAUAUUCCAGUACCACUACCAUCGUUAUUAUCGAUGGCGUGACGCAGGAGGAUAGUGUGUGCUAGCUAUUGGAUGCUAGUCUAAGCGUUUAGGCAGUGAGAGUAGGCAAAUCCGCUCUCAUAAUGCUGAGGCGUGAUGGGGAAGGUUCUACGGAACCGAAGUACAUGAUUCCACGCUGCCAAGAAAAGCGUCUAGAGAGAGAAGUAGUGCCCGUACCGCAAACCGACACAGGUAGGUGAGGAGAGAAUCCUAAGGCCGGCGGAAGAAUUACAGUUAAGGAACUCGGCAAAUUGACCCCGUAAGUUCGCGAGAAGGGGUGCCUACGAGAGUAGGCCGCAGAGAAUAGGCCCAAGCAACUGUUUAGCAAAAACACAGGUCUCUGCUAAAGCGUAAGCUGAUGUAUAGGGGCUGACGCCUGCCCGGUGCUGGAAGGUUAAGGGGAACACUUAGCGCAAGCGAAGGUGUGAACUUAAGCCCCAGUAAACGGCGGCCGUAACUAUAACGGUCCUAAGGUAGCGAAAUUCCUUGUCAGGUAAGUUCUGACCCGCACGAAUGGCGUAAUGACUUGGGCACUGUCUCAACUGUAAAUCCGGCGAAGUUGUAGUGCGAGUGAAGAUGCUCGCUACCCGCGAUUGGACGGAAAGACCCCGUAGAGCUUUACUGUAGCUUAGCAUUGAGUUUUGGUAUUGUCUGUACAGGAUAGGUGGGAGACUAGGAAACCAGGGCGUCAGCCUUGGUGGAGUCAACCUUGGGAUACCACCCUGACAGUACUGAAAUUCUAACUGGCGGCCAUGAAUCUGGUCACAGGACAUUGUUAGGUGGGCAGUUUGACUGGGGCGGUCGCCUCCUAAAAAGUAACGGAGGCGCCCAAAGGUUCCCUCAGAACGGUCGGAAAUCGUUCGAAGAGUGCAAAGGCAGAAGGGAGCCUGACUGCGACACCCACAAGUGGAGCAGGGACGAAAGUCGGGCUUAGUGAUCCGGUGGUACCUCGUGGGAGGGCCAUCGCUCAACGGAUAAAAGCUACCUCGGGGAUAACAGGCUGAUCUCCCCCAAGAGUCCACAUCGACGGGGAGGUUUGGCACCUCGAUGUCGGCUCGUCGCAUCCUGGGGCUGAAGUAGGUCCCAAGGGUUGGGCUGUUCGCCCAUUAAAGCGGCACGCGAGCUGGGUUCAGAACGUCGUGAGACAGUUCGGUCCCUAUCCGUCGCGGGCGUAGGAAAUUUGAGAGGAGCUGUCCUUAGUACGAGAGGACCGGGAUGGACUGACCUCUGGUGUACCAGUUGUUCCGCCAGGAGCACAGCUGGGUAGCUAAGUCGGGAAUGGAUAAACGCUGAAAGCAUCUAAGCGUGAAGCCAACCUCAAGAUGAGAUUUCCCAUAGCGUAAGCUAGUAAGAUCCCUUGAAGAACACAAGGUUGAUAGGUCGGGGGUGUAAGCAUGGUAACAUGUUCAGCUGACCGAUACUAAUAGAUCGAGGGCUUGACCAA